rnacentral:rRNA from 1 species
GAGUUUGAUCAUGGCUCAGAGCGAACGCUGGCGGCAGGCCUAACACAUGCAAGUCGAACGGGCUCUUCGGAGCUAGUGGCGGACGGGUGAGUAACACGUGGGAACGUGCCUUUAGGUUCGGAAUAAGCCCGGGAAACUGGGUCUAAUACCGGAUGUGCCCUUCGGGGGAAAGAUUUAUCGCCUUUAGAGCGGCCCGCGUCUGAUUAGCUAGUUGGUGGUGUAAUGGACCACCAAGGCGACGAUCAGUAGCUGGUCUGAGAGGAUGAUCAGCCACAUUGGGACUGAGACACGGCCCAAACUCCUACGGGAGGCAGCAGUGGGGAAUCUUGCGCAAUGGGCGAAAGCCUGACGCAGCCAUGCCGCGUGAAUGAUGAAGGUCUUAGGAUUGUAAAAUUCUUUCACCGGGGACGAUAAUGACGGUACCCGGAGAAGAAGCCCCGGCUAACUUCGUGCCAGCAGCCGCGGUAAUACGAAGGGGGCUAGCGUUGCUCGGAAUUACUGGGCGUAAAGGGAGCGUAGGCGGACAUUUAAGUCAGGGGUGGAAUCCCGGGGCUCAACCUCGGAACUGCCUUUGAUACUGGGUGUCUUGAGUGUGAUAGAGGUAUGUGGAA